GAGGCGGCAGUGCGGCGGGAGUGCUCAGUAGUCAGCGAAGAACGGUGUGCAGAGGGGGCGAGGAAGCUUCUGGACUGAGCAGGGAGUUCUUGGAUCUUAUCAAACAAAAAACAGAGUCCUAUAUGUAAGCAACUGCUGUAUCACACUUUAUGGAUAACAUUUUCUGCUGGCAGGACUUCUUUUUGAUGAAGGUGUGGAAAAUGUUCUCCGUCUUUCCUUCUGGGUUUUUUGGCUGCCCUCACCAGGCAUACCUUGGAAAUACACAGGUUUGGUUUCGGACCAUCACAAUAAAGCAAAUUUGC